CCUACGGGAGGCAGCAGUGGGGAAUAUUGGACAAUGGGGGGAACCCUGAUCCAGCGACGCCGCGUGAGUGAAGAAGUAUUUCGGUAUGUAAAGCUCUAUCAGCAGGGCAGAAAGAAAUGACGGUACCUGACUAAGAAGCCCCGGCUAACUACGUGCCAGCAGCCGCGGUAAUACGUAGGGUGCAAGCGUUAUCCGGAUUUACUGGGUGGAAAGGGAGCGUAGACGGCGAUGCAAGGCUGAAGGUAAAGGCGGGGGCGCAACCCCCGGACUGCUUUUGAAACUGUAUGGCUGGAGUGCAGGAGAGGUAAGUGGAAUUCCUAGUGUAGCGGUGAAAUGCGUAGAUAUUAGGAGGAACACCAGUGGCGAAGGCGGCUUACUGGCCUGUAACUGACGUUGAGGCUCGAAAGCGUGGGGAGCAAACAGGAUUAGAUACCCUUGUAGUC
rnacentral:rRNA from 1 species